CAGCACUUGGUCAGGAGCGAAGUGGCCACAGGACGAAGGUAGUGAAGGAAGUCAGGAUUCAGAGUCAAAAGACCCAGGUUUGGGUCUUAGUUACUCGCUUACUCACUGAAUGAGCUGUGUGGCUUGGGGCCUGGAAGGCCUCAAAAAACUGGGUUCUCAUUCCACUUCUAGUAAGGAGCAGAAUUUCAGUUCUAUCGCUUUUUCUUUGGCAGCCAGAAGACAUUGCCCUCCUGGGUCACAGGACACAGAGACCCAGUCUGACAGAUCCACCUUUUACCAAGGGACAGCACUGAAAUCACCCAGUCCCGGCAAUGAAAACAGCAAGCAACUAUGGAAUGGAGAGAGGCUCAGGAGUAAAAAGCUGGUUAGAGGAGAAGGAACUUCUCUACUGAUGGAAAGUUCCCUGGGGAUGGAGGAGAGAAAUUAACCCAAUCUGGCUACUUCCCCUUAGCGAGUCAACAUAGCAGAGAUCCAGCCUCACAUCCCUAGUGCUCCAACGGAACACUGUCAUUGAAACCACUCACCCCUCCAAAAAAAAAGUCUAAAUAAGAGAAAACAUGCAGUUAUAGAUGAGAGAAUAAGCAAAUAGGGAGGGGAGGGCUGAUACAAGACUUUUUGUGUCAGGAUAGAAAGACAAAUAGCAAAAAGAACAAGAGAGAACGCCUCGAUGAAAUCUCAGACAUAAGCAGAUAAACUGACAGGGACACUUAAAGAAAGAAAGGAAUAUGAACAAAGAAUCUAGAAAAGGGAUACAGCACAAUAAAUCAGUACUACAUAAUAAGGAAACCCCCA
rnacentral:lncRNA from 1 species